rnacentral:tRNA from 1 species
GGCUCCGUAGUUCAAUGGAUAGAAUUUGAGAUUCCGGUUCUUACGAUGAAGGUUCGAAUCCUUUCGGAGUCA